GGGGCGUGGAAGCAGCCUGACCACGCCCCUCUCCGGCUGUUGGAGGGGGGCCUGUGAGACCAGCUCUUCAUUGCGGGGGGAGUAGGGAGAUACCAAGUGGUGAAGAGAAGGCGCAGCCGUGAGGCGCGCAGCUGUCCCUCGGAUCACCUCAGCGGGUGCCUGCCGAGCCCUGCAGCCUCGGGGAAGCUGCUCAUCUCUAAACUCACUGAAUGCACUGUUCCCAGCCACUGUCAAGAGGUCCCUGCUUUUCAUUUGAUCUUCAGUUUUCUCUGAUGCAGCCGCUGCAGGCUUGAAAGCUAAGCUUUAUUUUUUAAAAUAUCACAGCUAAAAUGACUCCAGGAGAUGAAGUUUUAAGAUAAAGCACUAAAAAUUACAAGGCUUCUGAGAGGAACCUGUAACAUUUGGAAAAGAGCUGGGAGGAGAGGAGCAGCAAGGGAAAUGAAGAAAUAACUGAGCAAACCAGUUACUUCUUUCAUCACUUACAGUGGAAAAAGUAUGUAACAAGACAGGUCAACUACUUAGAUGUCCUCUGGCUGUUUGGAGAGCAUUCCAGAAAGCAAUCUCUUUGUGCCCUGUUUGUAGGCACAGCACAUUCACAUCUGCAGCCACAAAUUUAUGUGGUAUAGGAGGAGCCUGGGAAAAAUGUGUGCCUUAUUUUAUAAUGGAUAUGGCUUUUAAGAUUUUAAAGCUGAAAUUAAUGAGUUAACUCAGUCUAAAUAAAUGUCA
rnacentral:lncRNA from 1 species